rnacentral:lncRNA from 1 species
CGUGAUCGGUCCCGUGGGUUUUUCACUCCGAUUUGGAGUUUUCCUACGUUAAAUUCUCGGUGUGCUGUUUUAAUUUCCGCUACUUUGUUUUGUUUGCAUCGGGUUUUUCGAGUUUGCUGGAUUUACACCUAUUCACCCCCCCUCUAGGUGUUACUUACCUUUUAGAUCCUUGGGAUCCAUAUCUCACAGACUCAAGGUGAGGUUUAUUCUCAAUAGAGGGUGUUCAUGUUGGGUGCACACAACAUGAAACCGCGUAAUGAGAAUAGACGACCUUGCGUGACUUUCGCCCGAUUUGAGUCGAUGUUAAGUUUUUCGUGUUCGACCUAGAAGGUCGAGGAUUUAUAAAGUUGUCGCGUUUUAGAAAGCGAUAGCACUGCGUAGGCGAUCUUCAUUUAGAUCGGCAUGAGACGGGCCAAGUGGUGUCCCUGGGCAAUUUGAGGCGAGCGUAGACUUGGAACUUCGCGAGUUAUGGCAACUCUCAUGACCUUUGAGAAAUUAACGGAAUCCUCGUCGUGUUAGAUCACUUUUGGGUCAAAUUGACCAAAGUGCGUCGAGAGAAAUAGUUGGAAAAAAAGUCCAAUUGUCAUUCCAACAAUGUUGGAAGAGUUGGAAUUGAGUUCUAAAAGAGUUAGAAGGGUUUUGGCGUUGCUCG